CCCGUUCGUAAAUCUUUUUAACUUCGUCUCUUUCACUAUGCUGACUCGAUUAAUCAACAUGAUUCGCAGUCGAUCGAGUUAUAAACGCCGAGUUCGUGCCAGCUGCCUUUGUUCUUCCGAGCAUUCCACUUGGAUCCGCACGUGCGAUUCUUCUAGCUCGACAAAAGUGCCUCUGGAAUGUGGGUCAGAAGUAAAUGGGCAGAGGAAUUUUCGAAGUCCAACAACGACCGAUCGAGAUAUCUCAGUAAUUUCUUUAUCGAUUUUACUGAACAACUACAUCAGAUUCGAAAUUCGUUAAAAUCAUCGAUCGACGGACCAUCGAUGAUAUUUACAAUUACUCGAGUGAUAUAUAAGAUUCCAUACAAAAAAGGUAUUUCACGAUUUAACAAGAACGGCAUACGAAGUGUCUUUAUUAAAGUCGAAGAUGACUCGUCAGAUCGUCGCCAUCGUCGUCGUCGUUGUCG